AUAUUUUUUCCUUCUCUCAUCAGGUAAAAAUAUACCUUUUCUUAUCAUUUUAAUAUCUGCUACAUCCUGCAUCACAGGACUGGAACAUUAAACUCAUUUUUGCCGUAUGACAGAGUGCUAAGAGCAUGCUCUACCUCUGUAACUGGUUGCCUCCUUACUUUCGAGCUCUGUUAGUCACCAAAUCCUU